UACAGAGGUCUCAAGCGUUGUUCGGAAUCACUGGGCGUAAAGGGUGCGUAGGCGGCAUAAAAAGUCAGAUGUGAAAUCCGGAGGCUCAACCUCCGAAUUGCAUCCGAAACUCCUAUGCUAGAGGGUUGUAGAGGAGCUUGGAAUUCUCGGUGUAGCAGUGAAAUGCGUAGAUAUCGAGAAGAACGCUCGCAGCGAAAGCGAGGCUCUGGGCAACUUCUGACGCUGAGGCACGAAGGCUAGGGGAGCAAACGGG
rnacentral:rRNA from 1 species